rnacentral:rRNA from 1 species
UAAAUAGUCAGGCUGGCUUUUGCUGGUCGCAGACUUCUUAGAGGGACUGUCAGUGUCUAACUGACGGAAGUUUGAGGCAAUAACAGGUCUGGAUGCCCUUAGAUGUUCUGGGCCGCACGCGCGCUACACUGACAGAGCCAGCGAGUAUCUCCUUGGCCGGAAGGUCUG